rnacentral:rRNA from 1 species
UACGAAGGGGGCCAGCGUUGCUCGGAAUCACUGGGCGUAAAGGGUGCGUAGGCGGGUCUUUAAGUCAGGGGUGAAAUCCUGGAGCUCAACUCCAGAACUGCCUUUGAUACUGAAGAUCUUGAGUUCGGGAGAGGUGAGUGGAACUGCGAGUGUAGAGGUGAAAUUCGUAGAUAUCGGGAGGAACACCAGUGGCGAAGGCGGCGACCUGGGCCAAUACUGACGCUGAGGUGCGAAAGCGUGGGGAGCAAACAGG